AAUCUCUGUGAUGAAAAUAUUGCCGCCCCAGUCUGAAUUUUAAAUGACUGAUCGGUUUUAUUCUGAGACU
rfam:Biomphalaria glabrata isolate BB02 unplaced genomic scaffold LGTN_random_Scaffold43, whole genome shotgun sequence.